rnacentral:lncRNA from 1 species
UCUUGAGGCCCAUGAUCCCAACCAAAAUCUAGGGCCGGCGCACUCUCCUCCUCCCCUUCCGCCGCGACCGCCGUCUCCGCCGCCUCGAGCCAUCCACCACGGCGACCUAGCGACCGAGCAGGGCAGCGGCCACCCUCUUCGUCCCCACCAGCGUUCGCCGACGCUGUUCCGGCUGUCUCGAGGUGGGUCUCAUCUUCCCGCUGUUCCGCGCUGUCCCAGAUCCCUGGCGUUUCUUGGUGUGACGGAUUUUGGUUCGUGGAUCUUGUAGGAUUUGGUUGGCCAUGCCGGACAACAACCUGGAGGAUCUGCUGCUGCAGGCGGCGGGGCGGACGGGGGCGGGGAAGN